AAGUCGUAACAAGGUUUCCGUAGGUGAACCUGCGGAAGGAUCAUUAUUGAAUAAGCUUGGUUGGGUUGUUGCUGGCUCUCCGGAGCAUGUGCACGCCUGACAACCAACCUUUUUACCACCUGUGCACCUUUUGUAGACCUGGAUAUCUCUCGAGGAAACUCGGUUUUGAGGAUUGCCGUGCGCAAGCCGGCUUUCCUUGCACUUCUGGUCUAUGUUUUUAUAUACCCCUACACAUGUUUUAGAAUGUCAUUAAUGGGCUUAACUGCCUUUAAAAUCUAUACAACUUUCAACAACGGAUCUCUUGGCUCUCGCAUCGAUGAAGAACGCAGCGAAAUGCGAUAAGUAAUGUGAAUUGCAGAAUUCAGUGAAUCAUCGAAUCUUUGAACGCACCUUGCGCUCCUUGGUAUUCCGAGGAGCAUGCCUGUUUGAGUGUCAUGAAAUUCUCAACCUUUUCAGCAUUUAUGCUGUUUUGGCUUGGAUGUGGGAGUUUGCGGGCUUCUCAGAAGUCGGCUCUCCUUAAAAUACAUUAGCGGGACCUUUGUUUGCCCAGCUUUAGUGUGAUAAUUUAUCUACGCUAUCGUUGAAAGCAGCUUUUAAUGGGGGUACAGCUUCUAAUCGUCUCAUUUGAGAACAACUUCUGACAAAUUUGACCUCAAAUCAAGGUAGGGACUACCCGCUGAACUUAA
rnacentral:rRNA from 1 species